rnacentral:rRNA from 1 species
UACGUAGGUGGCAAGCGUUGUCCGGAUUUAUUGGGUUUAAAGGGUGCGUAGGCGGUUCUAUAAGUCAGUGGUGAAAUCCGGCAGCUCAACUGUCGAUGUGCCAUUGAUACUGCAGAACUUGAGUACAGACGAGGUAGGCGGAAUUGACGGUGUAGCGGUGAAAUGCUUAGAUAUCGUCAAGAACACCGGUAGCGAAGGCAGCUUACUAGACUGUAACUGACGCUGAUGCACGAAAGUGUGGGGAUCAAACAGG